rnacentral:rRNA from 1 species
GUCCACGCCCUAAACGAUGGAUACUAGACGUAAGAGGUAUCGACCCCUCUUGUGUCGCAGCUAACGCACUAAGUAUCCCGCCUGGGGAGUACGGCCGCAAGGUUGAAACUCAAAUGAAUUGACGGGGACCCGCACAAGCGGUGGAGCAUGUUGAUUAAUUCGAUACUAACCGAAGAACCUUACCCAGGUUUGACAUUGAUGGUAAGCCUAUGAAAGUAGGCCCUCUCUCACAAGGAGACCAGAAAACACUUGUUGCAUGGCUGUCGU